rnacentral:misc_RNA from 1 species
GUUAAACCUCAGCUUUUUGGUUUAUCACCUUCUCCUUGAUGAUUAUCCACAUAAAUAGCAAUCAGAAAACAGGGGAAAACAAUUGAUCUCAAAACAAUUAGAUAGCUAGUCACAGUAUAAUUUUGAUAAUAUACAUGAACAUUUACAAUUGUAUGAAUCAAGCUAAGAACUACAAUAAAUAGAGCCCAACUUUCAACAAGUAUUCAUUCCUAAUCAAGCAUUUUCAAAAUCUAUAACCCCCUUACAGAACUUUGCCAAACCUCAACAGAUUGCUGAUCCUUCCUUGUUACAAACAUCUUGCUUCCCCCAAAAGCCAAGUUGGUUAUUCUUGAUCC